CGGCUAUGACAUGUUACUACCGUAUAUUACAGUCUGUCCCGUGUCCGUCCUGUGUAGGUUGUAUGGAAGGUGCUGAAAGGAGGUGAGGAACUGACAGUCGACCGCUCUGUAUAACUGAAGACUCUGGCUAAGAAGACCAGCAAACACUAAAUACAGAGACGUAUGAAGAUUAUAACGACUGGCCCUCAGUGGACUACAGGUAGGAGAGAGACUGGCCCUCAGACUACAGGUAGGAGAGAGACUGGCCCUCAGUGGACUACAGGUAGGAGAGAGACUGGCCAUCAGUGGACUACAGGUAGGAGAGAGACUGGCCCUCAGUGGACGACAGUAGGAGAAGACGAGGCCCUCAGUGGACUACAAGGUAGGAGAGAGACUGUGGCCCGGCAGUGGGACUACGUAUGAGAGAAGGCCCUCAGUAACUACGGUAGGGAGAGACUGGCCAGGGGCAGGACUACAGUAGGGAGAGACUGCCAGGGGCGGACUGACAGGUAGGAGAGAGACUGGCAAGGGGCGGACUACAGGUAGGAGAGAGACUGGCCAGGGGCGGACUAACAGGAGGGAGAGAGACUGAGCCAGGGGGUCGGACUACAGGUAGGAGAGACUGACCAGGCGACACAGG
rnacentral:lncRNA from 1 species